GAUGAACGCUGGCGGCGUGCCUAAUACAUGCAAGUCGAGCGAACAGACGAGGAGCUUGCUCCUCUGACGUUAGCGGCGGACGGGUGAGUAACACGUGGAUAACCUACCUAUAAGACUGGGAUAACUUCGGGAAACCGGAGCUAAUACCGGAUAAUAUAUUGAACCGCAUGGUUCAAUAGUGAAAGACGGUUUUGCUGUCCCUUAUAGAUGGAUCCGCGCCGCAUUAGCUAGUUGGUAAGGUAACGGCUUACCAAGGCAACGAUGCGUAGCCGACCUGAGAGGGUGAUCGGCCACACUGGAACUGAGACACGGUCCAGACUCCUACGGGAGGCAGCAGUAGGGAAUCUUCCGCAAUGGGCGAAAGCCUGACGGAGCAACGCCGCGUGAGUGAUGAAGGUCUUCGGAUCGUAAAGCUCUGUUAUUAGGGAAGAACAAAUGUGUAAGUAACUAUGCACGUCUUGACGGUACCUAAUCAGAAAGCCACGGCUAACUACGUG
rnacentral:rRNA from 1 species